AUUGAACGCUGGCGGCAGGCUUAACACAUGCAAGUCGAGCGCGAAAGUUCUUCGGAAUGAGUAAAGCGGCGGACGGGUGAGUAAUACAUGGGAAUCUGCCUGGUAGUGGGGGACAACGUUUCGAAAGGAGCGCUAAUACCGCAUACGCCCUACGGGGAAAGGGGGGAGUCGCAAGACCUCUCGCUAUCAGAUGAGCCCAU
rnacentral:rRNA from 1 species